ACUUCCAUAUUGCUGUUCAUCAUCAAAGGGAGUCAAAUGGCAGGAACCUGAAGCCAUUGGAGACCAGAAAAGAUAUCAGAUGCCCUGGAACUGGAGUUACAGACAAAUUUGAACUAUCACAUCGGUGCUGGGAUUCAAACUUGGGUCCUCUGGAAGAGCAGCAACUGCCCCCAACUGCUGAACCCAGAAUUUGGUUCUUAUCAAAAGCAUAAAAUCUUAUCACUUGCUAUUCUCAUUUCCAAUAAAUCCUAAAUAUUAUUGUUACUUUCUUUGUAACCGCAAUGAUUUUCUUAAGAAAUAAACUUCUGACGUCUGAA